rnacentral:rRNA from 1 species
GACGAACGCUGGCGGCGUGCUUAACACAUGCAAGUCGAACGGAAAGGCCCUGCUUUUGUGGGGUGCUCGAGUGGCGAACGGGUGAGUAACACGUGAGUAACCUGCCCUUGACUUUGGGAUAACUUCAGGAAACUGGGGCUAAUACCGGAUAGGAGCUCCUGCUGCAUGGUGGGGGUUGGAAAGUUUCGGCGGUUGGGGAUGGACUCGCGGCUUAUCAGCUUGUUGGUGGGGUAGUGGCUUACCAAGGCUUUGACGGGUAGCCGGCCUGAGAGGGUGACCGGCCACAUUGGGACUGAGAUACGGCCCAGACUCCUACGGGCGGCAGCAGUGGGGAAUAUUGCACAAUGGGCGGAAGCCUGAGGCAGCAACGCCGCGUGCGGGAUGACGGCCUUCGGGUUGUAAACCGCUUUCGCCUGUGACGAAGCGUGAGUGACGGUAAUGGGUAAAGAAGCACCGGCUAACUACGUG